rnacentral:lncRNA from 1 species
CAGAGAUAGAGACAGACAGAGAGAGAGACAGAGACAGAGAGACAGACAGAGAGAGAGAGAGAGAGAGAGAGAGAGAGAGGGAGGGAGGGAGGGAGAGAGGGAGGGAGGGGAAGAGAGAGACAGAGAGACAGAGACAGAAACAGACAGAGAGAGACAGAGACAGAGACAGGGAGAGAAGAGGGAGAGACAGAGAGAGACAGAGACAGAGAGAGACAGAGAGACAGAGAGAGAACAAAGAAGAAGGGAGGGACUGAAAGAGAGAAGAAAGGAAGGAGGGAGACAGUAAGACAGAGAAGGUGAUGUCAAGGAGGGUGUAGUCAUAGCCCCAAUCAAAACAAACUUCCUAACCCUGAAAGAGAACACACACACACACACACACACACACACACACACACACACACACACACACACACACGAGGAAAGAAGGCGAAUCUUCGAAGGCCUCUUAGCUAUUUGGCAGAGGAACAGACUGCGGUGUGUGACGCCAAUGAAAUAUCAUCGUGCCGUAAGAGAUGACGAAAGAGGUGCUUUCAGAAUGGCCCAGCAGUGCGGAGUGUCCCAGGGGAGGGAGGGAGCAGCCUAAGAGGAUGAUGCAACAAGGACAACAAGGCUGCCAAGUACAGCCUCUUGGGACAGCUUCAGAACUCAGCAAAAUCUGCCCAAGGGCGCCUCCGAAAGCCUGAUGCAGCCUCUUUGGCCCCUCUCAGUGGGGAGCUGCUAGUCUUGGGGUGCAAUAAAAACCCCAGGUUGGGGCGCAGUAACUGCUCAACUGUUCCAGCCUCGUUCCUCCUUUGGCUUCCCAGUGGCUCUGGUGAGUUAACUCUGGAGUGGACCAUGACGAGAGGAGACAGCACUGUAAGGAAGAGUUUUGGGGACCUUCUCAUCAAUUUAAGUCUUCCACUAUUUUCAUCACUACAGUUUACAACUUCAACUCUUUUAACUCUUACAGUUUAUGACUCCCACUCUUUUAAAUAUAACACAUGUGAAUCCAAGAAAUAGGCCUUGGUCCUUAGCCUCCAACUUUGUUGUUUUCUGUUCUAGGUAAAAGGAUUGGAACCUCUAAUCUUGGGUUUCCCAAGCUUGAAAGGGAACCCUAGAACCCUGGCAUCCCAGAGUUCUAGAGUUGAGUUUUGUAGGUAGGACCCAGGAGAGGCUAAGCCCAGUGAGAGCUGAAAUCUCACCCUCAUGCUGCACAUGGAUGCAAACUUGGGUGGGACAGGGGAGCAGAUGGUAUGGAGGAACUAAGCUAAGGGUGAUUCCCUGAGGUAUUGGGAGGAAAUAAUUGGAAGGAAAUGUUUUUUGCUCUUGCUGUAUCUUCAAAGGAAAUGUCCCUAUGUAAAAGCUAAUUGAUGUUAAUUGGUUAAAUGGAACUGAGGCUCUAGUCAGUAGUGCCUAGUGGGAUGGAAGUGGGGGACGGUGGAAACACAGCCAAUGGCAAUAGAAAAGAGAGACUCUGCCAAACCUUUCAGGUUAGCCCCAAACCCUGAGGGGUGUAAACACCCAGCUGGAUCUGGGAGGGGGAGGCUGCUGGGAUAUGAGUUGGACUAGGUGGCCUCUUGGGGUCCCUUUUACCCCUUGGACUCUACGCAUGAUUCCAUGACAGCAAAGAUAAUACCAACCAAGCUUGGGCAACCGUGGGUUUUUAUCCGAAGACCAA